rnacentral:lncRNA from 1 species
CCCAUACAUGAAUAUAUAUGGUUUAGGGGUGGGGAUCUCGAGGGUUUUCAAGUUCUCAAACAGGAAGGGGUAGGGUGACCCCAGGGACUUCCCCUAUAUUUCAUUUGAUUUGUUAUAUUGUUCCAUACAUGAAUAUAUAUGGUUUAGGGGUGGGGAUCUCGAGGGUUUUCAAGUUCUCAAACAGGAAGGGAUAGGAUGACCCCAGGGACUUCCCCUAUAUUUCAUUUGAUUUGUUAUAUUGUCCCAUACAUGAAUAUAUAUGGUUUAGGGGUGGGGAUCUCAUCGGUUUCCAAGUUCUCAAACAGGAGGGGGUAGGGGGACUCCCCCUAUAUUUCAUUUAAUUAGUUAUAUUGACCCAUACAUGAAUAUAUAUUGUUUAGGGGUGGGGAUCUCGACCGUUUCGUAAGUUCCCAAACAGGAGGGGGUGGGUCACCCCAUGGACUCCCCUUAUAUUUCAUUUGAUUAGUUAUAUAUAUAUAGUCCCAUACAUGAAUGUAUAUGGUUGAGAGGUGGGGAUCUCAUCCGUUUCAAAGUUAUCAAACAGGAGGGGGUAGAGUGGCCCAAAGGACGCCACCUAUAUAUCAUAUGAUUUGCCUACAUUCAGGUAGUUAUUUGUGAAAAUAAAGUAAGAAUCUUCCAGCUACUUUAACUGACCCUUCAAAAUUGAGAAAAAAAAAUACCCCUUCAAAAUUGCAGUAAUAUGUUUACACUUUAAAAGCAUCUUACAUGCAUUAUCAACAUUUAUCACUGAUAAAGAAAAUUUAAACUGUGACCAGGAACAUAUAUAUUGUUAGAUAUACUGUUCCCAGCUGUCACAUUGUAUUGGAUUUUGACAUUAAAAUUUGUCAAAAGUAAUUUUGAGUUUCUGUUUAAAAUAUUUUCUGCUUUUUCUUUCUUUUACAUAUAUCUUUUGGUUUUCAAUUCUAGUGUUUAUAUUCAUUUACCAUGCAUAGAUGUAUUUUGUCACCUGCCUGGAUUCGCCAAAAACCCGGAAUUACCCUUAUCCGCUUCCGGAAUCGGAUCCGAAAUUGUAAUUGUCUUUUCACGGCAGCCAUUGUCAUUGUGUUCCAAUGUUGUUUUUGUCAGUCAGAUACGAUUUUACUCGUAUUAACACAUUUUUUUGUCGGCGAUUUUCUGUAUAUAGCUAGCGAUUGAACAAAAUUGACAUCGCUGUCAUGAAUAAUAAUGAUUAAAAUAAGUUUUGAGAUCGUUUAUUUGGAGACUUUGGCGAAAAGGUUUGCAAAGCUAUUUUUUAUUUUCUUUCAAGUGGAACUGAGACUACUAUAACUGUGAUAUAGUUGUCUCAGAGUGGAAGGCCCGUCGGGCGUGGCUAGUAACCAAUUCGAAAGUGGAAGGUCGCGGACCUCGGACCACCGCUAAUUUGAACCCCUGCCUCCAAAUUGAAAAGAUACGAAUUUCGUCUUCUAAUUUGAAAUUGCCGCCAACAGCAUGAACAGUUGAACUUAUUAUAUAAUAGACUACUGACGUAGUUGUACUACGUAUUGACGACAAACAAUAUUCCUACGACUUUUGCCAUUUGGGAAAUCUAAACUACUUGUCUUAAAAGAUUUUCGGCGAUUAAAUAUUUCGUACAAUUGUUUUUUGACAUCUUAGCCAAAAGCACAGGCGAUAAUAAACUACAUAAGAAUUCCUAAUGAGCACUACUUCCUAUGUGCAACUUCAAAAGUUUUGGGUGAUUCGACGAUCAUUUAAGGUUUUUUCUAGUCAUAUUUUUUGUAAUCCAGAAUUAAAAGUAUUAAAAAAGUGUUCAAUUAGUUAUAUAUAACAUAGUAGCCAGCUAGAUAAUAACAAUGGCAAGUA